GAAAGUAAAGAAGGGCGUAUGGCGGAUGCCUAGGCUCUCGGAGGCGAAGAAGGACGUGAUAAGCUGCGAUAAGCUGCGGCGAGGAGCAAAUAUCCUGUGACCCGCAGAUUUCCGAAUGGGGCAACCCGGCAGGACCACCUGUCAUCCCGGGAAACGGGAAGCAAACGUGGGGAACUGAAACAUCUCAUUACCCACAGGAAAAGAAAAUAAUAAUGAUUCCGUCAGUAGUGGCGAGCGAAAGCGGAAGAGCCCAAACCGUCUCUGUUUCGGCAGAGUCGGGGUAGAAGGACUGCAUAAGACAAAGAAGCAGGUAGCCGAACGGUCUGGAAAGGCCGGUCAAAGACGGUGAUAACCCGGUAGGCGAAACCAGCGACAGCGACAGCAGUAUCCUGAGUAGUGCGGGACACGAGAAAUCCUGUAUGAAUCAGCGGGGACCAUCCCGUAAGGCUAAAUACUCCCGAGAGACCGAUAGCGAACCAGUACUGUGAAGGAAAGGUGAAAAGAACCUCGAACAGAGGAGUGAAAAAGACCCUGAAACCAUACGCCUACAAGCGGUCGGAGCCCCUACGUGGGGUGACGGCGUGCCUUUUGCAUAAUGAACCUACGAGUUACUUUUGCCAGCCAGGUUAAUCGAUUCAGUCGAGGAGCCGAAGCGAAAGCGAGUCUUAAUAGGGCGUUAUAAGUUGGCAGGAGUAGACGCGAAACCAAGUGAUCUACCCAUGAGCAGGUUGAAGGUUAGGUAACACUAACUGGAGGACCGCACCGGUAAACGUUGAAAAGUUUUCGGAUGACUUGUGGGUAGGGGUGAAAGGCUAAUCAAACUUGGAGAUAGCUCGUACUCCCCGAAAUGCAUUUAGGUGCAGCCUUCUGACUAUAUUUAAGAGGUAGAGCGACUGAUAAGAUGCGAGGGCUUCACCGCCUAUCAAGUCUUGAUAAACUCCGAAUGCUUAAAUAUGAAUCAGAGGAGUGAGGGCAUGGGUGCUAAGGUCCAUGUCCGAGAGGGAAAUAACCCAGACCACCGGCUAAGGUCCCGAAAUAACGGCUAAGUUGAAUUAACGAAGUAGAAUUGCAAAGACAGCUAGGAUGUUGGCUUGGAAGCAGCCAUUCAUUUAAAGAGUGCGUAACAGCUCACUAGUCGAGGAGUUUUGCAUGGAUAAUAAUCGGGCAUAAGCCCUUUACCGAAGCUGUGGAUGUCGCAAGACAUGGUAGGGGAGCAUUCCGGCGGCGACGAAGGCCGUCCUCGAGGACGACUGGAGCUUUCGGAAAAGCAAAUGUAGGUAUAAGUAACGAUAAAGGGGGCGCGAAACCCCCUCGCCAUAAGACUAAGGAUUCCUGAUCAACGCUAAUCGGAUCAGGGUAAGUCGGGCCCUAAGGCGCAGCCGAACGGCGCAGCCGAUGGAAGAAACGGUAAAGAUUCCGUUACUGGAUAUAGGAGCGAUGUGGAGACGGAGAAGUGACACACCCGCCUGCCGACGGAAGCGCAGGUUAAAGGAAGUAGGUAGACGCCGGGUAGGCAAAUCCGCCCAGCGUGCCGAAGCUGACAGUAUCGAGAGCCCCCGGGCAAUCGAAUAGCGGUGGUAAUCAGGCUCCCAAGAAAAUCCGCUAAGCAAAUUCUAUAUUCACCCGUACCCCAAACGGACACACGUAGUCGGGUAGAAUAUACCAAGGCGCUCGAAAGACUCACGGUUAAGGAACUAGGCAAAUUGACCCUGUAACCUCGGGAAAAAGGGUCCCCAGUAAGAUGGGGCGCAGAGAAUAGGUCCAGGCAACUGUUUAACAAAAACACAGGGCUGUGCAAAAUUUAGAGAUGAAGUAUACAGCCUGACACCUGCCCGGUGCCGGAAGGUUAAGAGGAGAGCUAAUCGCAAGAGAAGGCUUGAAUUGAAGCCCCGGUAAACGGCGGCCGUAACUAUAACGGUCCUAAGGUAGCGAAAUUCCUUGUCGGGUAAGUUC
rnacentral:rRNA from 1 species